rnacentral:rRNA from 1 species
UACAGAGGCCUCGAGCGUUAGGCGGAAUCACUGGGCUUAAAGCGUGUGUAGGCGGACUUCUAAGUACCUUGUGAAAUCCCACGGCUCACCCGUGGAACUGCUCGGUAUACUGGUCGUCUUGAGCCUUCUAGGGGCGAGUGGAACAAAUGGUGGAGCGGUGAAAAUGCGUAGAUAUCAUUUGGAACGCCAAUGGUGAAAACAACUCGCUGGGGAAGUGCUGACGCUGAGACACGAAAGCCAGGGGAGCGAACGGG